rnacentral:rRNA from 1 species
CACAUCACGAAGGUGGAUUGUACUAGAAGUCUGCACGCUGACCCGCAAGGGAGGCAGCGGCCCAAGGUAUGAUUCAUGAUUGGGGUG